rnacentral:rRNA from 1 species
GAUGAACGCUGGCGGCGUGCCUAAUACAUGCAAGUCGAGCGAACAGACGAGGAGCUUGCUCCUCUGACGUUAUCGGCGGACGGGUGAUUAACACAUGGAUAACCUACCUAUAAGACUGGGAUAACUUCGGGGAACCGGGGCUAAUACCGGAUAAUAUAUUGAACCGCAUGGUGCAAUAGUGAGAGACGGUUUUUCUGUCACUUAUAGAUUGAUCCGCGCCGCAUUAGCUAGUUGGUAAGGUAACUGCUUAGCAAGGCAACGAUGCGUAGCCGACCUGAGCGGGUGAACGGACAGCCUGGAAGUGAGAAAGGGUACAGACUCCGAGGGGAGGACGCAGUAGGGACUCUUACGCAAUGCGCGAAAGCGUGACGGAGCAACGCCGCGUGAGGGCUGAAGGUGUUCGGAUCGUAAAAUUCUGUUAUUAGGGAAGAACAAAUGUGUAAGUAACUAUGCACGUCUUGACGGUACCGAAUCAGAAAGCCACGGCUAACUACGUG